rnacentral:rRNA from 1 species
GGCUGAAGUAGGUCCCAAGGGUAUGGCUGUUCGCCAUUUAAAGUGGUACGCGAGCUGGGUUUAGAACGUCGUGAGACAGUUCGGUCCCUAUCUGCCGUGGGCGCUGGAGAAUUGAGGGGGGCUGCUCCUAGUACGAGAGGACCGGAGUGGACGCAUCACUGGUGUUCGGGUUGUCAUGCCAAUGGCACUGCCCGGUAGCUAAAUGCGGAAGAGAUAAGUGCUGAAAGCAUCUAAGCACGAAACUUGCCCCGAGAUGAGUUCUCCCUGAGACUUUAAGUCUCCUGAAGGAACGUUGAAGACGACGACGUUGAUAGGCCGGGUGUGUAAGCGCAGCGAUGCGUUGAGCUAACCGGUACUAAUGAACCGUGAGGCUUAACCUUACAACGCCGAAG